GUCUUGUCGAUGAUCCAUCUCCUCCUCCCAAGGAUCGUCGGCCCAAGGCCUACAGACCUCCUCCUCCCGUCUGUCGGCCAGAAUCAAGAGCCUGUCGCACCUCCUCCCGCGACAGGCUCUUUUU
rnacentral:sRNA from 1 species